rnacentral:ncRNA from 1 species
AAGUCGUAACAAGGUCAACUCUUUUGAGUUGUGAAUUGAAUCCUUUCGUUCACUAAUUCGAAGGCCUUAGUCGCUCGUCAAGAGUUUGCAUUCGACGACUUGAAAAAUUAAAUGAAUGUAAUGGUAACCUCUGAAUCAUGUUACUAGGCUAGUGUGCGUUAAUGCAUGCAACACACCCAAAUUGUCGGGAAGUCCUUUGCCAAGCAGUCAGAGCCAUGUUAAUCCAUGGCGCAUAAGAACCUGAUUGUGAUGGAAUUGCUCUAGUCUUUAUACUAAAGCAUGUAUAACGGGAUAAUCCGCAGCCAAGCUCAAAUACGAAAGUAGACCUUAGAGUCAGCUUGUUAUUGAGAAGGUUCAGAGACUAAAUGAGUGUGGGAGAAUCUUCAGUGCUUCUCUUAAGAUAUAGUCCGAUCCUCGCUGUAAAGUGAGUUGUAGUUGAACAAGACACAUUGUUUCGUAGGUGAACCUGCGAAAGGAUCAUUAGUGAACUUAGGGUGACUCUGCAAAGAGAAGCCCGACACACUAUUUUUCCACACACUUGUGCAUUUGAACCUUUUUUUGACAUUCUAUGUAAAACUCUUGUGUCGAUUCACAGUCUUGUAAUGUACAAACAUGUAAAAUGAAAGUAAAA